rfam:Nicotiana attenuata strain TT chromosome 6, whole genome shotgun sequence.
UGGACAGAUUAUUGUAUUCGACUGUAUUCACGACGUGAAAUAGGGGAUUACACUGUUUUUAAACGGAAAGUGAAUCAAUUAACAUAAUCGACUCCU